rnacentral:lncRNA from 1 species
GUACUAGAUUAUUGUGAGUGGCGCAUCCGAAGCCGGCGCGUCUUGCAAAGCGGUGUCCCCUCUUUUGUAGAAAGUAGCGGCGGCGCUGGCGUCGCAUAAUCAUGAACGCGGCCGUGCUAGAGGAGAGACGCGGCACGCGUAAACGAAGGAGCGCGCGCGUCUCUCGUAUGGUGGCCGGCAGUGUCCAGAAGAAAGUUGGCAUGGUCGGAGGUUUCCGUUCGCGUCUGCGAGUUGUGCCCCGUAUACUGACCUAAAUGCAAAGAAAGCAGCGUCUAAAUCACUGCCACGCGUCCAAAUGCAAGACUGGGUACGCGUGCUCGAAUCACGGCCGCAAGGUAUCGCUUUUUAAAGCUCCAAGCGAUGAAGAGCGACGACUUUUGCGGGAAAAAAAUUGUGCCGACUUGACAAGCCACUCGGUGCCGAUUGUCCUGUGUGUAAGCUUCACUUUGAGCCUCAUUUUAUCGAGAGAGACUAUGUGCACAUAUUUACGGAGAGGAAGUUCGAGUGCCAAGGGAAGGCCGUCUCUUCGAUCUGACGCUGUGCCGACAAUUUUGCCGAAUGCACCGUCCUCUCUCUCGAAAAAAACACUGGCACUGCGGCCUCUGACAAAACGGCGUCUGCUUGCGCCUGACAUCCAUAGUGACAGGAAGCGACGUCGCGUCGACCGUGGCAAUAUUGUAUGUUAUGUCUCACUAAUAUUGCGUCUAACACAGAAGAGCAAGCCCUUAAAAUUCGCCUUCUUUCGUUCACUCGUAGGUAAAGGUUAGAUGUCUAGCUAAGCCGCGCUGACAGCAAAGUUGCUGAAGCGGCAGUUCAACAUGUCUUCCUAGAAUUAUAUUAGGCAAUUUUAGCUGAGCCUUUACGAUCCGGUCCGGUCAGGCCUGCGUAUGCUAGCGGUUUACACACAAACACGUAGAAGGAACUUUAUUGCGCGUGACGCGAUUGACACAUACACGUAGAAGGAACUGUACAACGCGCGCGCAGAACGAUCGUGCCGGCGGCGGAACGUAGAAUGCAUCUCUCGCUCCGCUAGCGAACUCGAUUCAGCGGAGCGCGAUGACGCGUUCACUUGGUUUUGCCGUUGUUUUGCAGCCAAGCUGGUCGCGUCUCAGCAAAACACGCUCGUGAAAAGUGCGAACUCUUCGCAGUUUCCUGCACUGUCUCGGGAAGUUACAUCUGCACGGGGCUGAGCGUAAGCGACGCUCAGCUAAAGGUGUCUAUAGUCGCGCUUCAACACAACCCGACAAGUUACAAUCACUUUCUUUGCGCGUCGUAAAAAAA